GGUAGAACGAGUUUGCUCUGGGAAGGUAAAAAGUGGCUUCCUGCCUUGGGAAUCCUGUUCUUUCUCCUCUCCCCGCUCAUUGCCACACUCGUGGGAACAGGUGCGCACCCUCAAGUACACUGUUUUAUGCUUGACAGGCAGCAAAAGAGAACUGGGGGACAACUGUGAGGCACCUAGGUGUGGGAAAGGGGCAAAGGACCCCAAAUGGGACAUGCUGAAGAAGAAUGUAGAUGUUUGUGAUGGAAUGUGUGGACAAAGAAGCUCACAGAAGAGUAAGACUUUCAGGAAUUGUUACAAACACUGUUGUAAGAAAAGAUGCAUCAGACAGUGGGGAUAAUUUUCUUUCUUUGAGCACAUUUAAUGCCAACCGUACUUUUACCAUAGUAAUCAGUAAAGAAUUGUGUUUCUCCCUCCUGCCUUGAUUUCUGUGAUCUGCACCUUCCUUCACUUUGUGGAAACCUCAGGGUUCAUUUUCAUUGUUCUUUACAUUUCAGCGCCAUCGUAGCAACAUGACUGCCAUAUGUAUAUAUUUUGUUGUUAAACUCUAGACAUUGGGUAGGAAAUAUUGGGAGAAUUCAUGUGUCCUGGGAUGGUAUCUUGCUGCAGAUGAGAUGGGAGUUUAUGUCUGGUAGGAGAUCAGAGGUGCUGGCAUUACUGUGAAUUCAGUUUUCCUUCCUUUCUCUCUUUUCCCUUCCCUUCCCUUCCCUUCCCCAUAUUCCUUUUCCAGGAGACAAUAUUCUGAAAGUGGGAAAUUCACAUCAUUUUCUUUUUGUCAGUGUAUUUUGCAUUCUUCUCAACUGAUGUCUUUGAGUCAGGUGGCAGGAGUUCCCUCAUGAAAUGUAGAAAUGUCCAGUAGGUCAUUGUACAGUGUUAAUAACACCAUGUCCAAGAAAGAUGUCUCUAUGGCAUUGUCAUGGCCCGAGCCUUGAUUGAGAGUUCAGGGCUCUUGGGAGAAAUCAGACAAGUCAGGAACCCCUGCACCAUCCUUGUGUGUUUAGUUGUGAAGAGUUGGUCAGGCUUGGUUUUGUACACUGAAAAGAUAUAUGCUUAUGCUGUCCCAAUCACAAGAGCCUGAGUGCACCCCGUGUGGGCUUUUUAUAUUUAUGUGAUGUAUUGAUGAGUAGGAAUAGAGAGCUAUGAAGAGAAGCUCAGAGUUGCCAGAGACUUUCCAGCAUUCUGGAGUUUCCAUGUGUUUAGUCCCUGAAUAGGGGGCAUCAAUGCUUUCCCCUGGUUGUGUUUGUGGAUCUGUGCAUUUACGGGGAAUGGGAGAGUGCACAUUUGAGACCUGCCUUCAGAUUUCAGGGAGGGAAGAAAGACAGAAUUUCACAUGGGCUACCAGGUAAUCUAUGUUUCUUUCCCUUUGAUGAAGCUGUGACUGAAAGAAUGGGAGCAGGUGAAAGGGGAGAAGCAGCUGUUGGCCACAGAGGAGAAACUGAAAUUAGCUGCAGAAGAGCUGUGGAACUACAAGUGAGUUCAGCUCCUACCAGCAUCUCACACUACACCCAUUGUAUUACUUUGAAACUUUGUAUAGUUAGACCCAAGUAGCACACAAAUAUACACAAAUAUUCAGGAGACAUUUAUUUAUAUAGACACUUCAAGAGAAAUGUGACAUUUUCCAGAUGUUAAAUUAAAAAUAUUAAUCUAAACAGGUUAAGUCACUAAAGAUUUCCUGAUCCCCGGUGCUGGCCAGGCUAUGUGGAAAUGUGGUUCCUGAACAUAUUUCUGGAGGUGCUGGAAAUGAUUACAAACCUCAGGAAGCAGUUUGGUGGAGGAUGAAUCACAUUGACAAGUAUGACCAUCCCGUUUGAGAGACCCACUUGUUGUAACCAUGAGAAAUAAUGAUGAAGAUACAAAGAAAAGAUUUGAACUUUACAAUGAAAGAUCCUCAUUGCAGAAUUAGGGAGCUGUCACCACAGUCAAGGAGACUGUGUCAAUGUGGAGCCCCACAGGCAUCAAAUAAUAAAUCCAAGAUGAUGUAGCGAUGGCUUUGAGCUUUCUGUACUCUCCUCCUCAUGUGAAAUGUGUCUUAUAUGAUUGGGUUGUGUGUAUAAGAGUUCAGUUACUAUACUGGGAACCUGGGCCAAUUAACAGCACCCUCAACAUGGUGCUUCAUCUGAUGAAAGCCAUUGCACGCCCAGGAGAAGAGUAGAAGAAACACAAGAACAGCUGCAGCAGUCAGAGCUCACCUUCGGACAUCAGGUAUCUGCACUCUGCCCAGUAGUUCAUGAGUGCUUCAGCACCUAAUGCAGAUGGUCAUAAUGGGCCACUGAAUCUCUCCACAUGGGUUUUUAUUGAUGUGCUGACUCUUUCAGAUGGCUCUUGGUGAGAAGGUGACUCAGGACAACUGGGUAAGAAUGUUUUUCUCUCCUCCUCUUGUGCACACCCUGCCACAGCUGAACGUGGAUGUGUUUCUCUCUCCCACCUCAGGGCUCAUGAUCAGGAGAGGGCGGUGGCAGAGCAGAGCAGGGAGGUGGCCUACUUGAAGUGCACGUACAGGAUUUUGACAUAUUUAUUUUAAGGGUGCUGUGAGGUUUUUAAAAAGGCUAAACUGUUCGGUGUCCAGUGGAGGCCUGGGUGUGGUAACUCUUAGUGAAACUGAUUCAUCUCGAUCUUCAAGACUGGAAGUCAUCCAAAGACAGAGGCUUCCAGAGGAAUUCAGGAGGCACAAACCAAUGGCAAGAGGACCUGACAGGGAGAUCCCUCCAUGGAGAGGUAUGGAGCACAUUGUGAAAUGCAGUAGUUUAAC
rnacentral:lncRNA from 1 species